GCGCGGGGCAACCUGGCGGCGAGUGGCGAACGGGUGAGUAAUAUAUCGGAACGUACCCAGAAGUGGGGGAUAACGUAGCGAAAGUUACGCUAAUACCGCAUACGAUCUACGGAUGAAAGUGGGGGACCUUCGGGCCUCAUGCUUUUGGAGCGGCCGAUAUCUGAUUAGCUAGUUGGUAAGGUAAAGGCCUACCAAGGCGACGAUCAGUAGCUGGUCUGAGAGGACGACCAGCCACACUGGAACUGAGACACGGUCCAGACUCCUACGGGAGGCAGCAGUGGGGAAUUUUGGACAAUGGGCGCAAGCCUGAUCCAGCAAUGCCGCGUGAGUGAAGAAGGCCUUCGGGUUGUAAAGCUCUUUUGUCAGGGAAGAAACGGUUGGAGCUAAUAUCCUCGGCUAAUGACGGUACCUGAAGAAUAAGCACCGGCUAACUACGUGCCAGCAGCCGCGGUAAUACGUAGGGUGCAAGCGUUAAUCGGAAUUACUGGGCGUAAAGCGUGCGCAGGCGGUUUUGUAAGUCUGUCGUGAAAGCCCCGGGCUCAACCUGGGAAUUGCGAUGGAGACUGCAAGGCUUGAAUCUGGCAGAGGGGGGUAGAAUUCCACGUGUAGCAGUGAAAUGCGUAGAGAUGUGGAGGAACACCGAUGGCGAAGGCAGCCCCCUGGGUCAAGAUUGACGCUCAUGCACGAAAGCGUGGGGAGCAAACAGGAUUAGAUACCCUGGUAGUCCACGCCCUAAACGAUGUCUACUAGUUGUCGGGUUUUAAUUAACUUGGUAACGCAG
rnacentral:rRNA from 1 species